CCUGGCUCAGAUUGAACGCUGGCGGCAGGCUUAACACAUGCAAGUCGAGCGGGGGAAGGUAGCUUGCUACUGGACCUAGCGGCGGACGGGUGAGUAAUGCUUAGGAAUCUGCCUAUUAGUGGGGGACAACAUCUCGAAAGGGAUGCUAAUACCGCAUACGUCCUACGGGAGAAAGCAGGGGAUCUUCGGACCUUGCGCUAAUAGAUGAGCCUAAGUCGGAUUAGCUAGUUGGUGGGGUAAAGGCCUACCAAGGCGACGAUCUGUAGCGGGUCUGAGAGGAUGAUCCGCCACACUGGGACUGAGACACGGCCCAGACUCCUACGGGAGGCAGCAGUGGGGAAUAUUGGACAAUGGGGGGAACCCUGAUCCAGCCAUGCCGCGUGUGUGAAGAAGGCCUUAUGGUUGUAAAGCACUUUAAGCGAGGAGGAGGCUACUUUAGUUAAUACCUAGAGAUAGUGGACGUUACUCGCAGAAUAAGCACCGGCUAACUCUGUGCCAGCAGCCGCGGUAAUACAGAGGGUGCGAGCGUUAAUCGGAUUUACUGGGCGUAAAGCGUGCGUAGGCGGCUUAUUAAGUCGGAUGUGAAAUCCCCGAGCUUAACUUGGGAAUUGCAUUCGAUACUGGUGAGCUAGAGUAUGGGAGAGGAUGGUAGAAUUCCAGGUGUAGCGGUGAAAUGCGUAGAGAUCUGGAGGAAUACCGAUGGCGAAGGCAGCCAUCUGGCCUAAUACUGACGCUGAGGUACGAAAGCAUGGGGAGCAAACAGGAUUAGAUACCCUGGUAGUCCAUGCCGUAAACGAUGUCUACUAGCCGUUGGGGCCUUUGAGGCUUUAGUGGCGCAGCUAACGCGAUAAGUAGACCGCCUGGGGAGUACGGUCGCAAGACUAAAACUCAAAUGAAUUGACGGGGGCCCGCACAAGCGGUGGAGCAUGUGGUUUAAUUCGAUGCAACGCGAAGAACCUUACCUGGCCUUGACAUACUAGAAACUUUCCAGAGAUGGAUUGGUGCCUUCGGGAAUCUAGAUACAGGUGCUGC
rnacentral:rRNA from 1 species